CCAGCCCUAGAGGAAUUGCAGGUGUGGCUGGUAUCUUACAUGUGCCUAAGUAGGUAGCAGAAAGGAGAGAGGCUGUGUCUAUGCUCAGUGUUCUGACCUAUAAACAUCUGAAUGAUCAGUAGCCCAACAUC